UACGUAGGGUGCGAGCGUUGUCCGGAUUAUUGGGCGUAAAGAGCUCGUAGGCGGUUUGUCGCGUCGGCCGUGAAAUCUCCACGCUUAACGUGGAGCGUGCGGUCGAUACGGGCAGACUUGAGUUCGGUAGGGGAGACUGGAAUUCCUGGUGUAGCGGUGAAAUGCGCAGAUAUCAGGGAGGAACCACCGGUGGGCGAAGGCGGGUCUCUGGGCCGA
rnacentral:rRNA from 1 species